AACUUAAGCGGAGCUUCGAGCUGCUCCUGCUCCAAGAGCCCAUUGCGGGGAGAGAAAAGAAUGGGAGGAACGAAUCGGAAGCCCUGGUUGAGCGCCCCGGGGCCAAUGCGGCCAAGCACCAGCAGGGCCCUUGCCCCGAGGCCAGAUUUCUCUCCUUUUCUGGAUUAUUGGGCGAGUAGAAGGUAGAGCGGAUCCCUGGGCGAUUUCCCCUGAAGAAAGCCCCCUCCUUUGCUUGUCUUUUCAACGGAGCUGCUGGGACCUUUCACCAAGGAAGGGAGAAUUUCUGCAUCCAGGCUACAUCCGAGAGUCAAGAUGGAGGACAUGGGAAACGAACUCCAGGAACAUGUCUGAGUCGUCAUCAGAAGCUGUAAAGGGA
rnacentral:lncRNA from 1 species